rnacentral:lncRNA from 1 species
UUUAAAUUAUUUGUAUUACGUUUAUUUUGUGUUUUAAAUUAUUUGUAUUACGUUUAUAUUAUGUCAUUAAAUCGAGUUUGUAUUUUGAAUCCAUUGGUGAAUGAAAGGUGAGAUUUGUAGGGUUUUUUCUCUCUCUCUCUCUCUCUCUCUCUCUCUCUCUCUCUCUCUCUCUCUCUCUCUCUCUCUCUCUCUCUCUCUCUAGUAUUGUCUAGCUAGCUCCUUGUGAAUGAGGUUACAAGUGAGAGUAUGAGUGAGAGUAAAUGGUAGGUAGUACUUCUAGAGAGAGAAAGAGAUUUUGCUUGUUUGGGUGAGUAGAGAGAGAGUGACUUCAACUGAGGUAUGAAAUUAGUGCAAAUGAGGAAGAUAUUAACAUACCCAAAAGAAAAAAUGCUAGAUUUUGCUUGGAUUCCUUAAAUAUAAUUUGUCAGAUGGAGAGAUGGGAAAUAAUCUUGGAAUAAAAGAUGGGUGGCAGAGAUGUUUGGAACUUAAUUAAACUUAGAUUUUGGGGAUCAAUAGAGAAGAAUCUACUUCAUCAUGACUACUAUCUUUUUGGGGAAAACUUAGUUUGAAUAACAGUCAGAGUACUGCUGCAAGAAGAUGAAUGAUUUCAACAAGGAACAACUUCAGAGAUCGUCACCUCUCUUAAUUUCCAUAAAAUAUUUUACGGGGCGAAAAACCAACUGAUAGUGCUCACCCAUUAAUGGAGAGAGAGAGAGAGAGAGAGAGAGAGAGAGAGAGAGAGAGAGAGAGAGAGAUUUGAAGUACUAACCAAGAUUUCAAGAUCUCAAGACUUAAAAAGUGAUGAAUGAUGAAGUGAAUCAA